GCUGUUAGUGGCAUCGAAUCUCUCUUGGCUACCAUAGAAGCUAUGGCAGCUAGCCCCAAACCUGAUGAUAAAGGCUGUAGAGAAAACACAACGAGAAAGACUACAUAUCGCCUGAUGUCGCGGAUGUGACGUCACGUCAUCAGACUCAUCAUCCUCACAGCGAUUCAGUGCUAAUCAAUUAGAUCAAGAUGCCGGUGUGUUUUGUUCCUAAAUGUACCCAUUCCAGCAGGCACGGCUGUUCUUUCUUUCGAUUCCCGUCCGAUGUGAAGACUCGGAAUCGCUGGCUCAAACAGAUCAGACAGAUCAGGGAGAGUCAAGAGUCGAAAGGGAUCAGCAGCCAGCCUUGCAUGAAAUUAUUCUGGAUUGUUUGUUGCUUUGAGGGGAACAGCUAAAGCCCCCUACCAGGACUGACGGACACAGGAAUUUUCAGGACAUGUUUUAUUAAUUCUAUUGCAUCAGUUAGUGUCAGCUUACACAGCAGUUUUUAAAACUUAACGGUGACCAACUGGGCACAAUCCAUGAGUCUCACAGUCAGGUUUAUGUUUUCUAUUUUCUUCUAUCCUCAGCACCAGUGUGUUGG